GCCAGCAUAGUUUAGUGGUAGAACAACUGUUUCGUAAACAGUUAGCGCUAGUUCGAUUCUAGCUGCUGGCAC
rnacentral:tRNA from 1 species